UGCCCGUCACAACUCCUGUUGUGAGCCUGAGGUUCCUUCUCACAGCUGGGUCUAAGGUCUGAAUGCCGCGCCCUCAGGAGAGCCACAGAUGGGUCUCCGCUGAUGCUGGUCUCAAUUUCCUCUGAGGGGGAGAGCUCCGGAAAAGGAGCCGAUCCUGGUGGUAGACUACAGAUCUGAGUCCACGGGACGAAAAACGAGGCUCCUUGGAUUAGAGACCAUCCUGAGGACAUCCUUGGGAGUCAUGUGCUGAAGAUGGCCAAGCCACAGGAUGAAAGGAGCUGUAUCUUUGAGUCAGCACUGGAGAAAGGUGUCUCUAAACGGAUUUGCAGAGAAGUCUUCUCAAAUACUCCCCUUCUGAGUUCCACUUAUAAAACCUAAGCAGGUGAAGGGGAAAGAAUGAAAGUGCAGGGUGGAAGCUGCUUGAAUGCUAACUGGGUCAAAGUUCUCCCAGAAAACCCCCAUAAAAGAAACCUAAGAAUCUACAUCACCAGGAGACCACUGGGACCAGUUCCUCUGGAAUCCCUGAGGCCAGAUAAUCAGGCUGGAAUGCAGUGGCGUGAUCUCGGCUCACCAACAUCCACUUCCCAGGCUCAAGUGAUUC